CCCCCCCCCACUUCCAUACGUUGUCCUUUAUUUACAUCGUGAGCUUCAAGCCUUCUCCGUGCCUGCAAGAUGUCUCGUGGAAAGUCCAAUAAAGAUUUGGAAUCUCUUAAGACAGAAGAUGUUGUUCAAGCGGUUGUAGUUGCUGACAACUUCAGCGAUGCAUUUGUUCCAAUGACCAAUGAUGUGCCCUCGUGUCUACUGCCUUUAGUCAAUACAUGUUUAUUGGAUCACACCCUUGAGUGGCUGUCGAAUGCAGGUGUUCAGGAAGUGUUUCUGUUCUGUACUAGACAAGUGGAAAAAGUGAGAGAGCACGUAAAAAAUUCCAAGUGGUCCUCUGAAGCUAGUCCACUUUUGUUGAAUGUCAUCGUUUCGGAAACAUGCCUAACGCUUGGAGAUGCAAUGAGAGAUCUUGACGCUAAAGCUCUCAUAAGAGGAGACUUUAUUCUUGUUAUGGGUGACACAGUCGCAAAUGUUAACUUAUCACCAAUUUUAGAGAAGCACAGGAGACUUCAAAAAACUGACAAAGGUCUGGCAAUGACUGUCGUAUACAAGUAUGCAGGACCCUCACACCCAGGAAGAGCACCCCAAGAUGACAUUCUAGUUGCCGUUGACAAGAAGACUAGUAAAAUCCUCUUUCAUCAGAAACGUGUUUCAUCACCUGAUCAGAAAAAAGUUCAUAUCCCAAUGGAAAUUAUUAUGGAUCUCCCAUCAAUAGACAUAUACAAUGACCUUGUUGACACCCAUGUCUCUGUUUGCUCUGCAUCAGUAUUGCCACUUUUCAGUGACAACUUUGAUUUUCAAACAUGUGAAGACUUUAUUAAAGGAUUACUCAUGAAUGAAGAAAUUCUUGCUAGUUCUUUGGCUGCAUAUUUUCUCAGUGACAGUGAAUAUGCAGCAUCUGUUAAUAGCUGGCCUAUGUAUAGGAACGUUACUCAAAACAUGAUUCAUCGAUGGACUUAUCCUCUUGUUCCUGACAUGUUAAUAUCUGAUAAUGAAAAGCCAUAUCAGUAUCUCAAAGGAAAUGUGUACAAGCAACACCCUGUCACACUCUCAAGAAGCAGCAUUAUUCAAGAUGAUUGUGUGAUUGGUGGUGGCUCUAAAGUUGGAGAAGGUUCAAGCAUUACAAGGUCUGUUGUUGGUCGCAAUUGCCAGAUUGGAAAUGGUGUAAAAAUUGAAGAUUCUUUUGUUUGGGAUGGCUGCAUUAUUGAGGAUAAAUGUUCCAUCAUUAGAACGGUUGUUGGUUGUAAUUGUAUUGUGCGACAGGGCGCUUCUCUUUCUCAAGGUUGUAUUCUAGGGCAAGGUGUACAAUGUCCUGCUAAAUUUGAAUGCUCCCAAAGACUUCAGUCUUCACCAGGUGAUGAAGACUUUGAACGAAUUGGAGAUGCUGCAUAUAUUGUAAAAUUGGAUGAUGAUGAAUCUGAUUCAGAGGAUGGCCGUGCUCCACAAAUUUGGAAUGAGCUGUUCUCUAAUGAAAAUUUUGAUGAUGAAGUUGAUGCUGAUAGUGAUGUAUCAUCUGAACUGAGUGAUGCCAGUGACCGUACAAUGUCACCUGUGCUGGAUGACACAAAUUUAUUCUACAAUGAAGUUGUGGAUUCUUUAAAAAGGGGCUUUGAGGAUAAACUCCAUUGUGAUAAUCUUGUUCUUGAAAUCAAUUCAUCUCGUUAUGCAUACAAUGUUAGCAUGAGAGAAGUUAAUUUGCUUGUUGUGAAAGCAAUUUUGAAUCUACCAGAGUCAGAUUCAUAUUUAACACAACUAUGGCAAAUGCUAACAUACUUCAUGCCCAUCUUGAAAAAUUACAUAAAAAAUCCUGUAGCGCAAAUUGAUUGCUUACAGGCAUUAAAGGAGGUAGCAGGGGCUGAGAGUGAAAUGCUGUCUGGUGUAGUCAAAUUUCUCAAAGUUUUAUAUGAUCAAGACAUUUUAAGUGAGGAACUCAUACUGAAGUGGCAUUCCGACCUGAAAACGGAUCCUGAAUCCAAAGAUCUGUGCAGAGUGGCAGCUCCAUUCAUAAAAUGGCUGGAAGAGGCUGAAGAGGAGUCAGAAGAAGAAUCUGAGUAGCCAGUUUCUUUAUUUUCUCCUAGGUACUGUGUGAUUGUGCAAUUUAUAACAUCUAGUGUCUUCCGGAUCAAAUCCUAUAUUUCAUACUGUCCCAAUCACAGUGACCAAUAAAGAGCCACACAAUCUCCAACAAAACAUAACAUCUAAACCUACAGAAAAACAUGAAUUUUCUCAAGACAAUUUACUAGAAGUUUCUCUUAAAGAACAAGUAUUAAGCUUUUUAAGCACACAGCUUAAAGAUAAAUGCAAAUGCAACUCAAUUUGCGAGCUGCCCAUUGAAUUACACAACAGUAAUAUUUCCA